CCUGUGCUGCAGGGAGCAGUAGAGGUAAGGAGGUCAUGUGAGAGACUGUAUGGGUGAGGCAGUUGUGCAAGGAGUAGAAAGAAGUCAGCCAGCUGUGUGGAAGAAAUAGAAAAGGGGCCAGUGCUGUAAGGAGCUGCCUGUGAGAACUCAUAGAGAGAAGCCUGUACAGGGAUGGAUCUGCAGGGAGAUGUUAUAGUUUGUAGAAGACAGAAGACCAUCUGCACAUCACUGACUACUGCAUUUUAGAGUUCUGAGCUGUUACAGCACUUACUUGCCCUCCUCAAUUUGAAAAGGAAAAAAAACACUUCAUGGAUGAAUUCACAAGAAGCAAUCUUCAGUGUGAAAUCCUCCCUCUUCAAUAAAAACUCUCUGCAGUCACAUAGAAGUGCCUGGCAAGGUGAAAUGAGAUGAGAUAGUGUGGGCAUACAGAGUGACUAGACUUUAAAGAAUGCUGUCAAGGAGAACAAACUGGAACUACAGGUACUUACAGGAGGCAAUAAAACAAGGGGAAAAAUAUAACCUAUAAUAAAUACUAAUAAAUGUUAAAUAAUUUGGACCAAAUAUGGACUUGAUGUGGUGAUGGAUAAGAAGUUCAGAUCAUCAAGCAUUUACAUUAGCUAUGAUUUUUUCUCAAAAGGGCAAAUCACCCUUUUGAAAAACUUUAUUGUAUUAGCAUAUGGUUUGCCCCACUCUCA